rnacentral:rRNA from 1 species
GGGUUGUGAGGUUAAGCGACUAAGCGUACACGGUGGAUGCCCUGGCAGUCAGAGGCGAUGAAGGACGUGCUAAUCUGCGAUAAGCGUCGGUGAGGUGAUAUGAACCGUUAUAACCGGCGAUUUCCGAAUGGGGAAACCCAGUGUGUUUCGACACACUAUCAUUAACUGAAUCCAUAGGUUAAUGAGGCGAACCGGGGGAACUGAAACAUCUAAGUACCCCGAGGAAAAGAAAUCAACCGAGAUUCCCCCAGUAGCGGCGAGCGAACGGGGAGGAGCCCAGAGCCUGAAUCAGUGUGUGUGUUAGUGGAAGCGUCUGGAAAGGCGCGCGAUACAGGGUGACAGCCCCGUACACAAAAAUGCACAUAUUGUGAGCUCGAUGAGUAGGGCGGGACACGUGGUAUCCUGUCUGAAUAUGGGGGGACCAUCCUCCAAGGCUAAAUACUCCUGACUGACCGAUAGUGAACCAGUACCGUGAGGGAAAGGCGAAAAGAACCCCGGCGAGGGGAGUGAAAAAGAACCUGAAACCGUGUACGUACAAGCAGUGGGAGCCUCUUAAUGGGGUGACUGCGUACCUUUUGUAUAAUGGGUCAGCGACUUAUAUUCUGUAGCAAGGUUAACCGAAUAGGGGAGCCGAAGGGAAACCGAGUCUUAACUGGGCGUUAAGUUGCAGGGUAUAGACCCGAAACCCGGUGAUCUAGCCAUGGGCAGGUUGAAGGUUGGGUAACACUAACUGGAGGACCGAACCGACUAAUGUUGAAAAAUUAGCGGAUGACUUGUGGCUGGGGGUGAAAGGCCAAUCAAACCGGGAGAUAGCUGGUUCUCCCCGAAAGCUAUUUAGGUAGCGCCUCGUGAAUUCAUCUCCGGGGGUAGAGCACUGUUUCGGCAAGGGGGUCAUCCCGACUUACCAACCCGAUGCAAACUGCGAAUACCGGAGAAUGUUAUCACGGGAGACACACGGCGGGUGCUAACGUCCGUCGUGAAGAGGGAAACAACCCAGACCGCCAGCUAAGGUCCCAAAGUCAUGGUUAAGUGGGAAACGAUGUGGGAAGGCCCAGACAGCCAGGAUGUUGGCUUAGAAGCAGCCAUCAUUUAAAGAAAGCGUAAUAGCUCACUGGUCGAGUCGGCCUGCGCGGAAGAUGUAACGGGGCUAAACCAUGCACCGAAGCUGCGGCAGCGACACUAUGUGUUGUUGGGUAGGGGAGCGUUCUGUAAGCCUGUGAAGGUGGCCUGUGAGGGUUGCUGGAGGUAUCAGAAGUGCGAAUGCUGACAUAAGUAACGAUAAAGCGGGUGAAAAGCCCGCUCGCCGGAAGACCAAGGGUUCCUGUCCAACGUUAAUCGGGGCAGGGUGAGUCGACCCCUAAGGCGAGGCCGAAAGGCGUAGUCGAUGGGAAACAGGUUAAUAUUCCUGUACUUGGUGUUACUGCGAAGGGGGGACGGAGAAGGCUAUGUUGGCCGGGCGACGGUUGUCCCGGUUUAAGCGUGUAGGCUGGUUUUCCAGGCAAAUCCGGAAAAUCAAGGCUGAGGCGUGAUGACGAGGCACUACGGUGCUGAAGCGACAAAUGCCCUGCUUCCAGGAAAAGCCUCUAAGCAUCAGGUAACAUCAAAUCGUACCCCAAACCGACACAGGUGGUCAGGUAGAGAAUACCAAGGCGCUUGAGAGAACUCGGGUGAAGGAACUAGGCAAAAUGGUGCCGUAACUUCGGGAGAAGGCACGCUGAUAUGUAGGUGAAGCGACUUGCUCGUGGAGCUGAAAUCAGUCGAAGAUACCAGCUGGCUGCAACUGUUUAUUAAAAACACAGCACUGUGCAAACACGAAAGUGGACGUAUACGGUGUGACGCCUGCCCGGUGCCGGAAGGUUAAUUGAU